CCUGAGCUCUGGUACUCGUGGCGCAACCAGAUCAACGGUUUAGCCGCCCUCGGCUACCGUGCUUUGGCGCCCGACCUCCGCGGUUACGGCGGAACAGAUGCACCAGAUUCCGUCGCCGAUUACACUUGCUGCCACGUGGUGGGAGACCUCAUCGCGCUUCUGGACACAGUGGCGCCGCCGGAGAAGGAGGAUAAGGUGUUUGUCGUUGGGCACGAUUGGGGUGCCAUCAUUGCUUGGUACUUGUGCUUGUUUAGACCGGACCGGGUUAAAGCUUUGUUCAAUUUGAGUGUGCCGUUUAUUCCUUAUGAUCCUCGGUUUAAACCGGUCGAGACUUGGAAAGCUUUCUAUGGGAAGGAUCAUUACAUCGUCCGGUUUCAGGUUCGAAUUUUUUAAAAAUUAUUAUUAACCAAAACUCUGUUAAAAGAAAUUUAAAAAUUGAUUUAAUGGAUAAAUUCCAUAUUUUAUAUUUUUAAAAUCAAGAUAAAAUUUAACUACGUCAGUAAUUGAACCAAAUUUUAUAUUUUUAAUUUUUUUAACAAUAUAAAUGUCUAAUAAUCUAUUUAAUUGAGAUCAGAUCAACAAUCAAAUUGAAAAUUGAUGGCUUGACGAGUUUGAUCACUAAAAGAUAUUAACAAAUAGUAAGUCGGUUUUUAUUUUUGUUAAUAUUUUAUAUUACAUAUAUAAUAUAAUAAAUAUAUUUAAAAUUUUGAAAUAUAAAUUAAAAUCAAUUAAGUUGAUGGGUUGAAUGACGAAAAAUUAAAAUUUAUAAUAAAUUAACAUGGUUCAAAAUAUCAUAAUAGGAAAAGUUUUAACUUUAUCAUUUGUUUUGUAUAUUGUUUAUUAUAAUAUAUUUAUUACGUAAAUUUAUAAAUAUAUAAUUAUAAUAAAAAGUUUUAUUGAGUUAGCAGAGAAUUUUUUAAAAAUUUAAUUUAAAAAAAUUAAUCAUAUUAAUAUAAGAGUGUUUUUCUCUUUUUUAUAUUUUAUAAAUUAAUAAAAGAUUAAUAAUAAUAAAAUAUGAUGGGUAUAAUGAAGGAAGGCCCUACCUAGUAUAGAUUAUUUAAUAUUUAAUAUCAAGUUAGUACAAUAGUAAAAUUUUAGACUCAGCUAAUUUUUUAGCUUUGCCCUUGAAUGCUUUGAUUGAUGUGAUCGGAAUUAGGCGGCAUAAAAUUUCAACAGGUGUGGAGUUGGUUUCCCCGUUUCAUUACUGAAACGGUGCGUAUCAGCUGGAACAAUCGGAAUUGACUACGUUGCUUUAGAUUAUGAACCUUUUAUUGACAAAUCAAAUUGAGUCGAGUUCAGAUUAGGGUUCGAUCGUAUUCAAUUUUUAAGUUCGGGUUAAAAUUGAGAUCCGAGUUACAUUGGUGCAGGAACCUGGAGUAAUAGAAGCAGAGUUUGCAGAGAUUGGUGUAGGACGAGCAGUUUUGGAGCUGUUAUCGUAUCGGGUACCCGACCCACUUUAUUUACCAAAGGGAAAUCUAUUCGGGCAUCCACUAGAUUCUCCGGUUAACUUGCCGCCAUGGCUGUCGGAGAAAGAUGCCGAUUACUAUGCCACCCAGUUCCAAAUAACCGGCAUCACCGGUGCCCUCAAUUAUUACCGCAAUUUUGAUCGGUGUGGUUUUCUUUCUUUAUUUCUUCUUGAUAAAAAGAAUCAGUUUGCUUUUUAAUCUAAUUUGCAGGGAUUAAUUUACUUAUUCUUUGAGUAAAAGGAGCAAAAUAGAAUCUGACUCUUAUAUUGGGAUCUCCAUGAUAGUUUUACCUAUUUCACAUUUUGAUUGGUUUUUUUAUAGAAACUGGGAACUAUCUGCACCAUGGUGGAAAAGCCAGAUCAAGGUACCUGUAAAGUUUGCAAUGGGGGACCUUGAUCUUGUGUAUACAAUGCCUGGUAUGAAGGAUUAUAUUCACAACGGUGGGUUCAAAAGGGAUGUGCCCUUCCUUGAAGAAGCUCUUGUCAUCAAUGGAGUUUCUCAUUGGAUCCACCAAGAAAUACCUGAUCAAAUCAAUCAAUUAUUGUUCGACUUCUUCUCCAAGUUCCAUUAAAUUUUAAUAAUAAUAACAAAAUCCAAAUUUAGUAAAAAUAGAAAAAAAAAACAUGUUCUUCGUUUGUUGUUUUUAAUUUUUAAGUCCAAAGGUUGAUUCGAAAUUUGAGAGGAUUAAAAAGAAUAUUAGAUCCAAAAAAUAGGUUUGGAUAAAAAUAUUAGUUUUGUUUAACAUAUAAAUCAGGUUUAGGCUUGAUCUUUCAAUGUUUGAGCUCGACCUGAUUAUUAAGGUUAUAAUAUAUUGUUACUUUUAUAUAUGAUGUAAUAUAGUUAUCUACAAAUAUAGACGAACUUGAAUAAGAUUUUAAGUUUAUAUUUCGAGUUCGAUUAAACUUAAACAAGUAUAAAUUAUAUUAAUAUUACAUUUUAAAUUCAGCCUAACUUAUAACACUUUUGUUUCAAUUAUUGUUUUUUUAGUGAAAAUUAUUAUUUUUUUGUUGAAAAUAAAGAGUAUUUUAACAGAAUUUAUUUUAUCAUUUAAAUAAUAUGACAGUAUUCACAUGAUAAUAUACGUUUAUAUUAAUAAAAUUAAUAAAUAUUAAUUUUAUUUAUUUAUUUUAGAUGGUUUGACAAAUAACGAACUAAAAAAGGGAAAGAGCUAAACCAAUAAAAUCGAGAUCACGAUGUAUCAUGUUUAUUAUUUUGAUAGUAGGACAAGCAUUUAAGAUAACAUGAUAAGAUAUGAACUGUUUAAAACAUGUGAGACCCACCAAUUAGCAGCAACUUCCGCCCGUGUGUUGUUGAUUUGCAAUAAACGUUUGCCAUUUUGAAGACGAAAACUAACCGUCUUGAUGCAGUUGCGUAGCUUGACAAUGUUAUUUGGGUCGACAAGGGAGCAGGCCGUUCCAUAACCAUAAUCAUAAUCUCCUUUCCUGCAUGAUAUGUGGAUGUUGUUUUAAAUAGAUUGAUUAGAUCAAGAAUAGAUUAAAGUAUUAAUUUAGAAAAUGAUUUUAAAUCGAUUAAAUUAGGAAUCGGCAUGAGUCAGUCCAAUUGAAUUUUUUAAAACUUUUAAUUUGAAUUUGAAUUGACGAAUCGAUGACUUGACCAAUUUUACAUAGAUCUGUCCAUUGGUUGGACUGAGUCUUGAAAAAAUUUUGGACUGUUAGAUAGAUCCAGGCUUGGCCCGACUUGACUCAAAAAAUAGAUUUAAAAUUUUAUCGAAAGCCGACCUAGAUAAAAAUGUUAAAAUUCAGAUUCAGUCUGGCCCGACUCGUAUUAAAUUUUUUAAAAAUAUAUAAUAUAUCAACAACACUAAAAACAUUAAAAUAAAUAUUUCUUAACAAUUUGAAAAUAAAUUUAAAAAACUUUAUACUUAAAUAACUGUAAGAUAAGUACAACUUAAUAAGUAAAUGUCUCUAAAAUAAUAGUAAAAUUAAAAUAAAAUAAGAGUUAUAUAAUGUCCAAACAACAACAACAAAAUAAUAACAUAAUAUUGAAAUGAUAGCAAAACAAUAAAAAAAUAACAAAAAAAGUAGUGAAAAAACAAGAAAACGGUAGAUCCUUUUUUCUUUUUACAAAUUCGGGUUGGGCCGAGAUAAAAAUUGUCUUACCAGAAGCCCAGUUUAUUUUCUAAACAGAUCAUAUUUUUUUAUCUAUACUUAUUUUUUGAACUUAUAAAAAAACCGGUUUAAAAAACAUUGAUAUCGCAAUUUAAAACAACAUUAGGUCUAUUAUUAUAUAUAACGAAAAGCUUAAGCUUAAGCUUAAGAAAGUGAUAAGACAUUAAAGAAGAGAUGAAAAGUAUGGAGGGAAUUCAACACAAAACAGUGAGCGUCAAUGGCAUCAACAUGCACAUAGCCGAGAAAGGGGAAGGUCCUUUGAUUCUCUUCAUCCAUGGCUUCCCUGAGCUCUGGUAUACAUGGCGCCACCAGAUCAACGGUUUAUCUGCCCUUGGCUACCGUGCUUUGGCGCCCGACCUCCGUGGUUACGGUGGAACCGAUGCGCCGGAUUGCGUCGCCGACUACACUUGCUUCCACGUGGUGGGAGACCUCAUCGCGCUUCUGGACACUGAGGCGCCGCCGGAUAAGGAGGAUAAGGUGUUUGUCGUAGGGCACGAUUGGGGUGCCAUCAUUGCUUGGUUCUUGUGCUUGUUUAGGCCGGACCGGGUUAAAGCUUUGUUCAAUUUGAGUGCGCCGUU
rnacentral:lncRNA from 1 species